rnacentral:rRNA from 1 species
AGCAGCCGCGGUAAUUCCAGCUCCAAUAGCGUAUAUUAAAGUUGUCGCAGUUAAAAGCUCGUAGUUGAAUUUCGGGAUCAGUAUGUUGGUCGUGCUUCGGUACGUACUCUCAUUACUGGUUUCUACCUUCUGAAGAACCUUGAUGUCAUUAAUUUGGUGUCUUGGGGAAUCAGGACUGUUACUUUGAAAAAUUAGAGUGUUUAAAGCAAGCAUACGCUUGAAUACAUUAGCAUGGAAUAAUGAAAUAGGACGUUUGAUUCUAUUUUGUUGGUUUCUAGGAUCGACGUAAUGAUUAAUAGGGAUAGUUGGGGGCAUUAGUAUUCAAUUGUCAGAGGUGAAAUUCUUGGAUUUAUUGAAGACUAACUACUGCGAAAGCAUUUGCCAAGGAUGUUUUCAUUAAUCAAGAACGAAAGUUAGGGAUCGAAGACGAUCAGAUACCGUUGUAGUCUU